UUUAAGGUAAAUAAGGGGGUAAUAAGAGAGGACACGUGGCAAGUGGAGGAGAUAGUUAAAAAUAAAUCAAUGGAGUAGAUAAGAAGAUAAACCAACGUCUGAGAACAAAGUACAAUUUUAUCCAAGGGUGCAGAAUUUAGAACCAAAUAGAGACUUGCGCUAUUAUAACAGAACUCAGCUGGCCCAACUAAUUCAGUUUUGGACUGGUAUUCAUUUUGCUCUCUUUCUCUCUUGUUUCUUCUAUCAUUUCUCUCUUCU
rnacentral:lncRNA from 1 species